GGGGGCUUCCCCCUCCCAGUAGCUGGUUCAGAUUGUAAGGUCACCAUGGAGACCAGGUACCACUUCCUAGCAUAACCACAUCCCAUAAACAAGAGCAUCCCAGGUGGCCCUGAUGGUAAAGAACCCACCUAUCAAUGCAGGAGACAUAAAAGACUCAGCUUUGAUCCCUGAGUUGGUAAGAUUCCCUGGAAGAGGACAUGGCAACCAACUUCAGUUCUUGCCUGGAGAAUCCCGUGGACAGAGGAGCCUGGUGGGCUGCAGUCCGUGGGGUGGCAAGAAUCAGACACGACUGAAGUAACUUAUUACACAGAUGAAUCCAAUCUUCGAAGCAGCCCUUGAACAUAGAGUAUCAACAUUUCCUGUGCAUUUCUCGCAGAUACAAGUUCCACAAGCCUUGACUGAGCACUCACUCCACACGCCUUGUGUGCUGGCAGGCUCACCUCUGCUGUGUGUCUACAGUUCUCAGAACACGGCAGCUCUCUGGAUGAAGAUCUCACCCUGGGGAGUGGAAGAGGUGAUUUCACCUCCAUCCGUGGGUCCUUGUCCCUCUGGUUUCCACCCCACAGCUCCUUUCUCACGACUCCCUUUCAAGUCCAGCACUGACACUCUGC
ensembl:lncRNA